UUACACACACACACACACACACACACACACACACACACACCAAGUAUCCUAUCUGUUCUUAGGUCAUGAGCUUAAGGAGGUGAGAUAUAAUAGGAUAAACUGUGUCAACUGUGUGUGUGUGUGUGUGUGUGCAU